GGUCAAAUUAACUGGUUAAACAUACCUAUAGCAAACCAACCAUGGUCAAAUGAACUGGUUAAACCCAACCAUGGUCAAAUGAACUGGUUAAACGUGCCUAUAGCAAACCAACCAUUGUCAAAUUAACUAUGGCUAAACGGACCGAUAGCAAACCAACCAUGGUCAAAUGAUUAAAUAGAUUUUCAGAAAGUCAGAUAAUGUUAUUGUCUUUGUUACCUGGAUUGAAUAUCUUAGACCCAUUUUUGCUAAAAAUAGAAUUGUCAUCAAUGAAUACAAAGUCGAGUGUAAAAGUGUUUUGCUGACAGAAUAUCAACACGUUGUUUUCAUAAGAAGAGAACAUGUUACAAAUGUGUUCACUGUUUCCGGCAACUGUACAAAAUGUUAAAUGGCGUUUUCAGUAGUAGAAUAUAAAGAAAGAUGUAAACAUGGGAACUGUCUAACUGCUAUGAUUCUUGACAACAUUGCAGAGAAGAAAGUUGAGUUAUUUUGUAAGUAACUUUGGGUUACUCCUAAAAGACAUCAUCUCCAACAUUACAGGUUUGUUUUCGGUGUGAUUUGAGACUUGGUUCGUAUCAGUUGUAUUCACCGUUUCUUUAUUUCGAUUGUGGAUUGUGUUUCUGCGUCGUUGGAAAGUUGACGAACCUAUGAGCACACCGGCAUCUGGAUUAUAAUGAUGGCGAUGAAUAAAUCCGGCACACAAUGUGGAUAUUUUCUAUUUUUCCUUUUUUGAUCAGGAAUAAUAUUUAUUUUGAUGUGUAUGAAAUUGUUUGGUGAAAUAUGCAUUUAAAAAAAGGACAGUAAUUACCUAUAAUUCCUGCACCUUUCGAUAGUUGUAUUUCCAAAUUUGAUCAUCAUGAUUUAGUUACUGCAAAGACAAUCUAUUGAUCUCAAAUCUACUUAAAAGACAGACUAACUUUCUGUUUUGUCAGCUUAGACUCAACAAAUGUAUGUUUGUGUUAAUCUUUUUGCAGACGGUCAUGUUUUAAAGAAUGCACUUGCAAGUCUGACAGUAUCAUUUGGUUUGGAUUGAUGUAUUUGUUUUGGAAAGGCAGCUACAUAAAAAUAAAUAAAAAAU
rnacentral:lncRNA from 1 species